rnacentral:tRNA from 1 species
GUAGACAUAAUUUAACUAAAAUACUAGAUUGUGAUUCUAGACACAGGGGUUAAACCCCCCUUGUCCACC